CACGUAGGGGGCGAGCGUUGUUCGGAAUUACUGGGCGUAAAGGGCAUGUAGGCGGCUCUGUAAGCCUGGCGUGAAAGUCACCGGCUCAACCGGUGGAUUGCGUUGGGAACUGCAGGGCUUGAAUCAUGGAGAGGGAGCUGGAAUUCCAGGUGUAGGGGUGAAAUCUGUAGAGAUCUGGAAGAACACCAGUGGCGAAGGCGAGCUCCUGGCCAAUGAUUGACGCUGAGGUGCGAAAGUGUGGGGAUCAAACAGG
rnacentral:rRNA from 1 species